AACGAACGCUGGCGGCAUGCCUAACACAUGCAAGUCGAACGAAGCCUUCGGGCUUAGUGGCGCACGGGUGCGUAACGCGUGGGAAUCUGCCCUUGGGUUCGGAAUAACAGUUAGAAAUGACUGCUAAUACCGGAUGAUGUCUUCGGACCAAAGAUUUAUCGCCCAAGGAUGAGCCCGCGUAGGAUUAGGUAGUUGGUGGGGUAAUGGCCCACCAAGCCGACGAUCCUUAGCUGGUCCGAGAGGAUGAUCAGCCACGCUGGGACUGAGACACGGCCCAGACUCCUACGGGAGGCAGCAGUGGGGAAUAUUGGACAAUGGGCGAAAGCCUGAUCCAGCAAUGCCGCGUGAGUGAUGAAGGCCUUAGGGUUGUAAAGCUCUUUUACCAGGGAUGAUAAUGACAGUACCUGGAGAAUAAGCUCCGGCUAACUACGUGCCAGCCGCCGCUGUAAGAC
rnacentral:rRNA from 1 species